rnacentral:misc_RNA from 1 species
GAUGAAGAACGUAGCGAAAUGCGAUAAGUAAUGUGAAUUGCAGAAUUCAGUGAAUCAUCGAAUCCUUGAACGCACAUUGCGCCCCCUGGAAUUCCGGGGGGCAUGCCUGUUCGAGCGUCUCAGGGACGAACCCUCGCGCGGGUGUACGCGCGGUCGUGGCUGCGGUGGCGUGCCCGAGGCGGCGGCCACCGCGCUGGAAUCCAUGGGCGGACGCCUGCCGCGUGGCCGAGCGUGAUAUGACGCAUUGGCGCUAGCACGCGGAGAGGCUGCGAGCCCUGGCCCGUCUGUCGGGCGGGGGAGAGCAAGACACGUGAACUCCUCGAAUCAGGUAGGGAUACCCGCUGAACUUAAGCAUAUCAAUAAGCGGAGGA